UUGAGAACGAGAGAUUCAUCAUCGAAUACUGCACAAAGCAACAUGAACCGUCAGUUUGGAGUGGACCUCUUGUCGGUCGCCGCAAUCGUAAUUGCUUUGAUCGUUAUGGCCCCGAAGGAAGCUCUUGCUAGCCUCGGAGGAGGCGUGGGAGGAAUCGGAGGCAUCCAAGGCGCGGGCAAGAAGUGAAUUUUCGUGCGUCCUGAAUCCAGCGACUCCACCUUUGUCACGGUCUGGAUGACCAGCUCGCCUGCAAUAAAAUGCCUGC